AUACGGGCAGGAGAAAUCCUUUAGAGCGCUUUGUGACCACCCAGAAGUAGAAGAAUAAAACUAACGCUAUUAAAAAGCAAUGGAAUCCCUGCCUACUGCUGUUUCUCUGCCUCACAAACCUUUUUUCCCCUUUAAAUGCAACAAUAUAUUAACACUCUGUCAGUUGAAGAGUGCUUUAUAAAUGGUAGAUGCUGUUUCUUGCUUAAACAACUGCUCUGAGUGCCUGAUAGAGCUAUAGGCACACCUGUUUAAAGCUCUGCAAGUCCCAUUCACCUCCCGGAUUCGGAUCUUCAAGGCAACAACUGCAGACCCAGCUGUGGCAGGCAGACUUCUAAGACGGCCCCCUGAGAUCCCUGCUUCCUAGAGUUCAUGCCCUGUGUAAUCUCCCCCUUUCCCUUGAGUAGGGGUUGGACCUCGUGACUCACUGCUAAUGAGUAGAAUAUGAUAAAUGUGAUGGCAUGUCACUGUCAAGAUUAGGUUACAGAAGACUGUGAUUUCCAUCUUGCUGGCACUCUCCUGCCUUCUCUCUCACUUGUUCACUCUGACAAAGCCAGUUGCCAUGUUGUCAGCUGCCUUACAGAGAAGUCAAUGUGGCAAGGAACUGUGGCCUCUGGCCAACAGCCAGCAAGGAACUGAAGCUCUCUGCCCAACAUCCUGCAAGGAACUAAGUCCUGCUAACAACCACUGAGAGCACAGCCCCUUGGCCUGAAGACGUCUCUGGUUCCAGUGAGUGGCUAUUUAGGGAGGAGGGAAACACUGCAGUGAUGUGGAGGAGCUGCAUUAUCUUUUCCUUCAUCUCUGAAGCCAGGCUAUGCCAGAGAUAACACUGGAUGGAACCUUCUCAGUUUAAAAAGAGUCAUAAAAGAGAGAUCAAAGAGCUUUUGUGGCCAUGGAUAGACAUAAGAAGCAAGAGGAAUCCCCUCCCUGGGCUCCUGAUUUCUAAGGUCUUUCUCCUUAGGCUUUGCAAACUUACUACUUGAUUACACACUGCCUGCCUACUAACUGCCAGCACCUGCAUUUCUUUGCUGGAAGAUUUUACCUGACCUCUGGAGGCUGCCUGCCACCCAUGGGGUAGGUGGGAAUUGCUGGAAAAUUAACACCAUCUGGGGUCAGUUUACCAACAA
rnacentral:lncRNA from 1 species